GCUGAAGUAAGGCAGCAUCAGGAGACAAACACUGAGAAAAUAUGAGAACAGAGAGAACCCAACCAGCAGGUCACAGUUUAUCAUCAUCUAAUCAUCUCCUGAAGUCCAUAUGGUCCCUCUCUAUCUCCCCACACAUCCACCAACCACUGGAACACAUCUCCAAAGUUCUGCCGGUCCAGCUCAGCUUCCCCUCAGAAGAAGUGCCGCCACCUGCCAGAUGAAGGAGCCUUUUGAGAGGCAGCUGGCAUCGUGAUUGGACUGUACUUUGGUCUGUUCCAGUCCAGCUUCAGCUCCAGAGACGGCAGGCGGGACGAGUCAACGGAGGCCUGGUGGACGAAGGCAUGCAGCUGAGUACAAUCCAGAAAACAACAGCGGUCCAGGGCCAGAACAAACAGAGAAGCAUCGUAUGUCUCUUAGAAAACAUCAUAGUAUAGCCUUUGGUAUGAAAAAACACCAUCAUAUACAUCGUAUAUUGUACAAAUAACAAGUCAAAGGAAAGAGACAUACAUUGUAGAAUUGUAGUAAUUGUGGGCUGACUGAUUUACUGAUUAUCAGUAUUUUAUUUUUUUUGCUGAUUUAUGGUAAUAAAUACAUUUAAAAAUGGC